CGAUCGGGAGACUCCCGUUCGCUACGUAAACCCUAGCGGCUUGGAGGUAAAAGAGAAGAAGAAGAAGAAGAAGAAGAGAGGAGGGGGCGGCCACGGUAAAGGGGCUUCGAUCUCUUUUCGUUGACGAAUGAAGAAAGGGAUACAUCCACAACUGCAAUGGAUUUCAUAUGUGACUCAGACUGGUAGAUUGAUUAAUGUUAUGAUGACCAGAUUACACCGUGUCGGCCGUGUCUACCAGUUGAGACCUAGGCGUCAGAUGGCACCAACUCUGAGCCAGAUUGCCAAGUUCAACCUCAGAUAUGGUCUGAAGAAUGAGGAAAAUAGUGAAAAAUAACCUGUCCUUGUAUUCAGCAUGUGAGGUAUAUCGAUAGGCAUUGCAUUUGGAGAUUUGGACAAUUUAGUUUCAGACACUAGCUAAAACUCUGUUUUUGAGUUUCAAUGGUGUGUGAUAUAUGUUGCUCCCAAAAUUGCCUAUGAAUAAGAACUUUAUCCCGCACAUUAGGUGGGGUUCCGCAUCCCCUUA